CCUGUCACACCAUGGGAGUUGGAUUCACCCGAAGGUGGUGCGCUAACCUGCUUGCAGGAGGCAGCCAACCACGGUGGGUUCAGCGACUGGGGUG
rnacentral:rRNA from 1 species